AAGUCGUAACAAGGUAACCGUAGGUGAACCUGCGGUUGGAUCAUUAAAAAGCGAACCGUCCUUCGGGAUGGUCACGCAAGAGAGACGUUGGAGUUUGGCGUGUUGCUGGUGCGCGUCUAUAAAUAAGUGUAGGGAGGGUGAAUACCACGAGCAACACAAACCGCUGUCAAGCCUCGCAGGGCUCUGCUGCAAGCGCGCCGUUGUCUUCGGACCGGGCGCUCGCAGAACCUGCGGGGUGCGACGGCACCGCGUUCUGUCUAUACAUAUCAUUGUCUGACCAUACCCAGUCUUCUUUGCAAGACUUCAACAGAAAACAACCCAUGACAACGGAUCUCUUGGCUCUU
rnacentral:misc_RNA from 1 species